UCUUCCCUCUGGCGGCGUGCCUAAUACAUGCAAGUCGAGCGAACGGACGAGAAGCUUGCUUCUCUGAUGUUAGCGGCGGACGGGUGAGUAACACGUGGAUAACCUACCUAUAAGACUGGGAUAACUUCGGGAAACCGGAGCUAAUACCGGAUGAUAUUUUGAACCGCAUGGUUCAAAAGUGAAAGACGGUCUUGCUGUCACUUAUAGAUGGAUCCGCGCUGCAUUAGCUAGUUGGUAAGGUAACGGCUUACCAAGGCAACGAUGCAUAGCCGACCUGAGAGGGUGAUCGGCCACACUGGAACUGAGACACGGUCCAGACUCCUACGGGAGGCAGCAGUAGGGAAUCUUCCGCAAUGGGCGAAAGCCUGACGGAGCAACGCCGCGUGAGUGAUGAAGGUCUUCGGAUCGUAAAACUCUGUUAUUAGGGAAGAACAUAUGUGUAAGUAACUGUGCACAUCUUGACGGUACCUAAUCAGAAAGCCACGGCUAACUACGUG
rnacentral:rRNA from 1 species